CUCAAGAGAUAAGUAUACUUUUUUUUUUUAUUGUACGACGUACUAUCACUACAGUCACACGCUGACAACAAAGCGAACUCAAUUUCCCAGAGCACUGAUUGGACAAGCAAUGUCAUGUGAUCAUCUGCAGCCAAUGAUGGCCAAACGGGCGUGUCAUAACUAAUUAACUUGUUGAUCCGCGUGUGUCUUACCCUCAAUGGCAGAGGCUCCGUCGAACUCCUGGGGUUUAAUCGAACACAGGUUAAGAUCCACUGAUCUCGGUCAAAGGUGGGCACUUAAUUUUGCAAAAGGGCCACACAAACCUGGAGCGCUUGCCGAAGUCCAAGCUAACAUGCUAAUUUUAGAAACGUUGCCACUCGUCCACAUAAGUUUCAUGGAAAUCAAAUAGUCCAGUUUUGGGGAAAUUCUGCAAACUCAACGUGAUCAAACAAUGCCUCUCACACUUGUGCUAUUAUGCUUGCUGGAGCUAGGAAGUGAGGUAUAUUCCCAACACUUCUACCGUCACAUCUGUACAGACUCAAGUCUUCAGCCCCUGAGACAGCAAUAACAUUCACAAGAUAAUGAUGUGGUUCCGUCGAGCAUACCCCAUUGUGCUAUUACAAGACGAAAGACAUAUCAUCCUCCAUUUUCAUGAUAUGAAAGCAAGACACAAGGGGAAGAUGGCGAGACGGCAACCACAUAAGAGAACUUGUGUCGUCUUGCGCUCUUGACCUCAAGCAUUUCCUCACAUCUGUGCCGGAAUCAGGAGACGCACCGUCAUCAGUACAACCGUGGUCCACUGCAAAUAUCAACAAUUCACACUGAAGCGCCAACAAAGGAGUCUUGUGCUUCCCAUUUGCCCUCUAAAAAGAAACUCCAUCUCAUCUUUUUUUUUUUUUUUCUUCCUCAGACAGAAGCAUAUAAUCACUCUUGUGCAACAUGUCUGGUCAAA